rnacentral:rRNA from 1 species
CCAAUAGCGUAUAUUAAAGUUGUUGCAGUUAAAAAGCUCGUAGUUGAAUUUCGGGAUCAAUUUAUUGGUCGUGCCAACGGUACGCACUGGUACAAUUGGUUUCUCCUUUCUGACGAAGCAUGAUGUCAUUAAUUUGAUGUCGUGGGGAAUCAGGACUGUUACUUUGAAAAAAUUAGAGUGUUUAAAGCAGGCUCGCGCUUGAAUACAUUAGCAUGGAAUAAUGAAAUAGGACGUUUGAUUCUAUUUUGUUGGUUUCUAGGAUCGACGUAAUGAUUAAUAGGGAUAGUUGGGGGCAUUAGUAUUCAAUUGUCAGAGGUGAAAUUCUUGGAUUUAUUGAAGACUAACUACUGCGAAAGCAUUUGCCAAGGAUGUUUUCAUUAAUCAAGAACGAAAGUUAGGGGAUCGAAGACGAUCAGAUACCGUCGUAGUCUUAACCAUAAACUAUGCCGACUAGGGAUCGGAUGAUGUUAAUUUUUUAAUGACUCAUUCGGCGCCUUACG